AAGUGAGACUAAUUAACGUGAAAUACUCAGUAUUUCUCUACAACUAAUUGGUUCCUUCUUCCCCAGAGUUCCAGAGACACCCCGCAGUGACCGAAUGAACAUUUGAACAAGGCAACAACUGUACUAAUGAGUAACAGUGCCGGAGAGAAGCAGAAAUAUUGACGCAGGAAGGCAGGAUGGACUGCUUGGCCUAACGUGCCUUUUCCUUCUGAGACCUGGAUGACAUUUGCCUCUGGAACAUUCUUUCAGAGCAACAG
ensembl:lncRNA